UAAAACAUAUAUAUGUACAUAGUACACAACACAAUAUUCUGUACACAAUACAUAGUUAAAACAUAUAUAAUGUAUAUAGUUAACACAUUAUUCUGUACACAAUAAAUAUAUUUAAUUUUUAUCUGUCAAUUACAAAAUAAAUAAAUUCAGAUGACCAUCAGUCCCUCUCUACACUUUGCUCCCUGUCCAGAGGCAGGCACACCUAACCUCUCCUGCUUUUAUUUAUUUUUGUAAUUACUUCUGUAACACUAAAUAAUGUUAACACAUCUAUGUCUUCUUUAAAUAUAUUUAUAGAAGCUAAGGAUUUAGCAUACUUUUUCUGCCUCUUACUUUCCAGUAUAUCAUUGAGAAUUGUCUUGAGCUGCAAGUAACAGAAAACAUCUCUACAGUUGCUUAGCUACACAGAGAUUUGUUUAAUUCUCAACAUAAUGAAGAAUCCAGAGAAUUAUGGCAGCAGCAAGUAAGAAGAUAAUGAUCCUGAGAAUCAGCACUCAAGACCAGUGGUCAGUCCAGCCAGAAAGAGAUAAAGGUGGCAUGGGACAAGUGCCACCCUCACCUCUGGGGACCGUCACCCAGACACCAAGCAGGAAGAUGAAGCUCAGGUCACGUUCAUCAUGGCUGAACUCCAGGUAGUCACCUGUGGUGCAGAGAAAGUGGCUGGCUCAGAUGUCCAGGCCUGUGAGUGGGAACAAUGAGGGGACUUUCUCUGAAGCUUGCAUUGCACUUAUCUGCAGCGGGGAAGGGGUUGCGGAAUGACCUCUCUCCUUGUGAACUCCAGCAGAGCAGUUUUGUUGUGUGUCCGUUUUCUAUUUUUCUUGUUAUUGUUUUGUUUUCUAAUUUUACACAUUGAAAAUGGUAUAUGACCAAGUUUACUCUUCUCUCCUUGGAGACUGAAUCAUUUUUCAAAUCUUGACUGACCAUCUUCUCUUUCUUAUGGAGCAAUCGUCCCUUCCUGUGUUUAGAAGUGCAGUGCUGUGUUGAGCAGACGGACAUGGCUGUGAGUCUCUAGCUGUCUUCCGUUUCUCAUGGAGCAAUCGUCCCUUCCUGUGUUUGAAAGUGCAGUGCUGUGUUGAGCAGACAGACGUGGCUGUGAGUCUCUGGGCUUGUGCCCCGGCCCAGUCAUUGCCUAGGCAACUCCCUCCCCACGGGCACCUGGCCUCUCUCCGCUUUACUUUCUGAACCUGUAAGAUGGGUAGGAGGAUGGUAGGGCCUACCUCAUAGAGCUUGCGAGAGGAUUGGUACAGAUAAAAUCACUGAGAACACUGGCUGGAAUAUCAUAGGUCCUCGUCCAAUGUUCAUUACCAUUAUAAUUUAUAAGCAUCUUUUUAAAGUAUUUGUCAUAAUAACUUUUUAUGUGGAUGAAAAGAGUGAUAUAAAUUUUCAGCAUCAUGAUGUGAACAGACCCUGGAGCAUGCUUGGGUGGAGCCUGGAACUUUGGGUUAUUGAAGAGCCUGCUAGAACUAGUUCUAACAGCUGAGAUAUAGAAUCAGUCCAGGUGUCCAAUAAUACAUGAAUGGAUGAAGUAUCCAGGGAGAUACAGGAAUUGAAAAUGUAUAUACACAAACUCUUUAAAAUUUGUGUAUACACAAUGGAAUACUAUUCAGCCAUAAAAAGAAUGAAAUCCUGUCAUUCACGGCAAAAUGGUUGGAACUGGAGGACUCUGUGUUCGGUAAAACGAGCCAGGAACACAAAGUUAAAUGCCUCAUGUUCUCACUUAUUUGUGGAAGCUUAAAAAUGCUGAUCUCAUAGAAGUAAAAGGUAGAACAGAAGAUCCUAGAGGCUGGGAAGCUUCGGCGAAAGGGAGAGAUAGGGAGAGAUUUGUUUAAGAAUACAAAAUUACAGCUAGACAGGAGGAAUAAUUUCUAGUGUUCUAUACCACCGUAGGAUGACUACAGUUAACAAUAAUAUAUAGUUUUAAAUAGCUAGAGGGAGGAUAUUGACAAGGAAAUAAUAAGUAUUUGAGAUGAUGGAGACGCGAAUCACCCUGAUCUGAUCACUGUAAAACAUAUGUAUUAAAAUAUCCCUGUUUACCCCCAUGAAGGUGUACAAUUAUUAUGUGUCCAUGAAACAUAAAUAAAGUAAAUUUUUAAGACUCCAACAAAUGCUGAAGUAGGAAAUCUAUGUGUUUCAUGAGGUAAUUGACAUCAGGCCUCAGGAGAAGCAUGAACGCUCAGCAUGGUAGGCAGGGACUCUCACAGUUACAGUGUCCUCAUCACUCACGCUGCCCUGUUAGUGUCUGUGGGGUAGCUUCUCUUAACUGGUCAUCCCAGGAGCAGGCCAGACCCAGCAGAAAGCACUGCCUGUUCUUGCUCAUGGGUUUGCCUACCGCACAUGGCUGGGGAGAGCUGAGUGCAGCUCUUAAGUGAGUCCAUUUUCUUGGGUCACAAGGACAUUUCAGCUCCAGCUCAGAGCACCCCCCAAGUGGGUGCUAAGAAUGCGGACUUUAAGAUCAGAAAGUGCAGGAAUCAUUAUGAGAUGGUGAUAAGAAAUGUAAUUUUGAUCUGACAUCUGAAAUAAAAUAACAAGAACAUUUCAAUGAAGUCCCUGCAACUCUUCUUUCUGGCCUCACUGGUUCAUUGUGAGCCACCGUAUAAAUAAGCAGUAAAAGAUGUGUGGGCAAAACUACAGACAGGAAUAUGUGGUUGCUGAAUCAUCCCAACUUUCCCUGGUGAUCAGAUCACGAAGCAAAGGUCCUCUCUGUGUCAGCAAACAUGUGCCAGCAGCAAGCUUGUUAUGUCAAUUAUUUAAAGUUUUUUUUUUUCCAUAUAGUCAUUUUCAGUAAAGAAAUGUUAAUAGAAAACAUCUUGCUUUGAAUGUAGGAGAGAAAAUAUUUUGGUCAGACAGAAGUGUGCUUAUUUACAUCUUAUGAAAACAUACAUAAAAGAGGCAGAAACCAUCUCAUUCUGUUGUGAUUGUGUUAAACUUCUCAGUUCAUUCAUUUUACAGUUUGCAUUUGUGAUCAUAGCUCCUUUUCUGUAAUGCGUACAUGUGGGCAUGCAAA